GUAACUUAUUAGAUCAUUUGUAGUCAUAUUGGGCGAGUUGGAACCGGUGUUUUUCUGAAUCAAAAGCACCAUAUAAAUGGACAUUUUGGGGAUAUAACAAAGGAAAUUAUCGAACAAAAGGACCAUUUGUGAUGUUUAUGGGACAUUUUCGAGUGCCAACAGAAGAAGAUCUUCAAAGAAGUACAUCCCUCAGACCAUCCGGUGCAUGGACAUCCUGUGCCAGUGUGAUCCGAGUACAUGAGGCGUAAAUGCGUAACAUUAAGCAGUGCAGGAUCAACGCUUCCCUAACCAGGGAGAGCUGCUGGAAGUGAUGUACUCUCUCACUCUGGUGGAAAGACAUUUAAACAUCAUGAAUUCCCACUAUGCCCAUGAUAAAAUGCAACGUUAAUUGUGCUGUACUGAAUGAGACUGAGGAGAUGCAAUCCAACCAGGCUUUGUGAUUGAAAUAGUUUAACAACAUUAUUUUAGUUCAAAUCAAAUCAAAUGUUAUUUGUCACAUACACAUGGUUAGCAGAUGUUAAUGAGAGUGUAGCAAAAUGCUUGUGUUUCUAGUUCCGACCAUGCAGUAAUAUCUAACAAGUAAUCUAACCUAACAAUUUCACAACAACUACCUUAUAUACACAAGUGUAAAGGAAUUAAUAAGAAUAUGUACAUAAAAAUAUAUGAAUGAAAGAUGGCCGAACGGCAUAGGCAAGAUGCAGUAGAUGGUAUAGAGUACAGUUUAAAUACUGUACUUGGUUUUUGUUUUUGUUUUAAAUGGCUUGGUUUUUGUUUUACAUGCACUGUCAACUGUGGGACCUUAUAUAGACAGGUGUGUGCCUUUCCAAAUCAUGUCCAAUCAUUUUAAUUUAACACAGGUGGACUCCAAACAAGUUGUAGAAACAUCUCAAGGAUGGUCAAUGGAGUUUAAUUUCGAGUCUCUUAGCAAAGGGUCUGAAUACUAAUGAAAAUAAGUUAUUUCAGUUUGUGUUUUUUUAAAUGUGCAAAAAUGUAAAA
ensembl:lncRNA